CCAUGCAGGAAUACGACAAAGGCUGCCUGCAUUAAAUAAGAGCGAAAAGGGCAGACAGACACCGGCUGCAGCCCAUCCGCCCCAUCCAGCAGAGAGCACAUGAUUCAGUCCUCCUGCUCUUAAAAACCAGCAGCAGCCUCCUCUGGAAGAGAUGACAAGCCAUUAGAUGUGCGCUUUCUCAUCGACUGUGCUCAUCGGAUACACGCGCACAAACAUACAACAGCCCCGGGUGUCGACAUGGAGCUGGAGCAUUUUGACGAACGGGACAAAGCACAAAGGUACAGCCGUGCGGGUUCACGUGCGAACGGCCUGCCUAGCCCGACACACAGCGCGCACUGCAGCCUGUACCGAACCCGGACCCUGCAGGCUCUGAGCUCCGAGAAGAAAGCCAAGAAGGUCCGCUUCUACCGCAAUGGGGACCGCUAUUUUAAAGGGAUUGUGUACGCCAUCUCCAACGACAGAUUCAGGUCUUUCGACGCCCUGCUCGCAGACCUCACCCGCUCCCUGUCUGAUAAUGUUAAUCUGCCGCAGGGAGUUCGGACCAUUUACGCCAUUGACGGCUCGAGGAUCACCAGCAUGGAGCAGCUGGUGGAAGGGGAGAGCUAUGUGUGUGGAUCAGUUGAGCCUUACAAGAUGCAGGAAUAUACUAAAAACGUCAACCCUAACUGGUCGGUCAACGUCAGGACCACUGCUGCAGCAAAACCACCCACCUCUCUAGCCAGUGCCAAGGCCGGGUCUAUCGAAACCAAGGAUAACAGGGAUUUCAUUCGACCCAAACUGGUGACCAUAAUCCGCAGUGGGGUAAAGCCUCGGAAAGCCAUCCGAAUCCUUCUCAACAAGAAGACGGCCCAUUCGUUUGAGCAGGUUCUCACAGACAUCACAGAUGCCAUCAAGCUGGAUACUGGAGCGGUCAAGAGGCUUUAUACGGUGGACGGUAAAAUGGUGACCUGCCUUCAGGACUUCUUUGGAGAAGAUGAUAUAUUUAUUGCCUGCGGCCCAGAGAAGUUCCGCUAUCAGGACGACUUCCUGCUGGAUGAGAGCGAGUGCAGAGUGGUGAAAUCGCAGUCCUACGGCCGUAUUUCUUCAAUGCAGGGCCGCUGUUCUCCUCGCAGUGGUGGACCAUCGAGAAGGAGCAAAUCCCCUGGUUCGAGCAGCUCAGCUAAUGGAACAGCAGGCAGUCAGCUGUCCACGCCACGCUCAGGAAAAUCUCCCAGUCCAUCUCCAACCAGUCCAGCCAGUCUGAGAAGAAGAAGGGGCUCUCAGCAUAGUGGCUCAUCUCUGUCUCUGGCCUCCACUAAAGUGUGCAGCUCCAUGGAUGAGGGUGAUGGGCCAGGCAGUGAAGCUGAGCUGACGGAGGAUUGUCCUCAGGUUCCUGCUUCCAUCGCAGAGAGGUACAAGGUGGGACGGAUGAUCGGCGACGGGAAUUUUGCCGUGGUGCGCGAGUGUGUGGAGAGAUCCAGCGGCCGAGAGUACGCUCUAAAGAUCAUCAACAAGAGCAAAUGCAGGGGGAAGGAACACAUGAUCCAGAAUGAGGUGUCGAUUCUUCGGAAAGUGAAGCAUCCAAAUAUUGUUCUGCUGAUUGAAGAAAUGGACACAUACAGUGAGCUCUACAUGGUCAUGGAGUUGGUCAAGGGUGGCGAUCUCUUUGAUGCCAUCACAUCCUCCAACAAAUACACUGAGCGGGAUGCCAGUGGGAUGCUGUAUAACCUGGUCAGCGCUAUCAAAUAUCUGCACAGCCUUAACAUUGUUCACCGGGACAUCAAACCUGAGAAUCUCCUGGUCUAUGAGCACCAGGAUGGGAGCAAGUCUCUAAAACUGGGCGAUUUUGGUUUGGCAACAAUUGUGGACGGUCCGCUUUACACUAUUUGUGGCACCCCAACCUAUGUAGCUCCAGAGAUCAUUGCAGAGACUGGGUAUGGCUUGAAGGUUGAUAUCUGGGCAGCUGGGGUUAUAACAUAUAUACUGCUUUGUGGCUUCCCUCCUUUCCGUGGGAGCACAGAUGACCAGGAGGCUCUUUUUGACCAGAUUCUGAUGGGACAGCUGGAUUUCCCUCCUCUGUAUUGGGACAAUGUGUCUGAGUCUGCAAAGGCUCUUAUUACCGGCAUGCUGCAGGUAGAGGUGGAGCAGAGAUACACAGCUCUACAGGUGCUGGACCAUCCCUGGGUCAACGAUGACAGGCUGUGUGAGAAUGAGCACCAGUUGUCUGUGGCUGGCAAGAUUAAGAAACAUUUCAACAUGAGCCUAAAACCCAACAACACCACAGCUGGAGCCACUAUCAUAGCAAGCACCCCUCUUGAUAAGGAGAGGCAGGUUUUCAGACGAAGACGCCACCAGGAUGUGAAAGCCUCCACAGGCCGCGGGACUCAGAGCUCCUUCCCCGCCGGCCCGACUCUCUCCCCGCCAGACUUCACUUCAGAGUCCGAGGACAUCUCACCGUGCUCCGCCGACACCGUCCGCUCGCCCACAUCACCGUUUUAAAGCCACAGCCGAUCCUGACUGCAAUUCUUGGGAAGAUACCUAGAAAUUUAAAGUUUUCGCCCCUUACUAUAAAGGGCUGAGUGAGUGCCAGUCUUUUGCAUGUGGUUUGAGUGAGUGAUGAUCGUUUUAAUAUCCAUUUACUCUACCUUCAGUACAUCCACAGGUAAGAACAGUCAUAUUUGUUACUCCUCAAUAUUUAACAUUUAUUAAACAGUUCACUUUAGCCUCCAGCAUGUAAAGGCUUUGUGAAGGGGUGAAUGAAAAGCACAAAAGGGGGAAAAAAAAGAAGUUCUUUAAGGUAUGGCAUGUGUUUGCUUUUUUGAUAAAACAAUGUAUCUGCUGUGUUUGCUCGUCACAAUUAGACUAGAACACAAUCCAUGAUCAUCUUGUUUUUCAAUAGGUUGUAGGUCAGUUCAUUAAUAUAGGGAAUAUUCUAGCUCAUAUGCAAAUGUCAGUGCGUGGGCAUUGAUUACAUGUUGUAUAUUUGUAUAGAUGUGUAUCCAUCGCUUGUUUCUUGUCUCCUAUGUAAUGCCAUCAAUGCUAUCAAUGCUCAACUUUUCUUUCUGAAUGAAGAGUCUUUGCUUCCAAGUAGCAUUCAAAACAGUGGUGCAUUCAGCAACAAGCCAAACCUGUGAAUAAACAACUUCUCAA